UAGGGAAUCUUCGGCAAUGGACGAAAGUCUGACCGAGCAACGCCGCGUGAGUGAAGAAGGUUUUCGGAUCGUAAAACUCUGUUGUUAGAGAAGAACAAGGACGUUAGUAACUGAACGUCCCCUGACGGUAUCUAACCAGAAAGCCACGGCUAACUACGUGCCAGCAGCCGCGGUAAUACGUAGGUGGCAAGCGUUGUCCGGAUUUAUUGGGCGUAAAGCGAGCGCAGGCGGUUUCUUAAGUCUGAUGUGAAAGCCCCCGGCUCAACCGGGGAGGGUCAUUGGAAACUGGGAGACUUGAGUGCAGAAGCGGAGAGUGGAAUUCCAUGUGUAGCGGUGAAAUGCGUAGAUAUAUGGAGGAACACCAGUGGCGAAGGCGGCUCUAUGGUCUGUAACUGACGCUGAGGCUCGAAAGCGUGGGGAGCAAACAGG
rnacentral:rRNA from 1 species